rnacentral:rRNA from 1 species
AGUGAACGCUGGCGGUAGGCCUAACACAUGCAAGUCGAACGGCAGCACAGUAAGAGCUUGCUCUUACGGGUGGCGAGUGGCGGACGGGUGAGGAAUACAUCGGAAUCUACUUUUUCGUGGGGGAUAACGUAGGGAAACUUACGCUAAUACCGCAUACGACCUACGGGUGAAAGCAGGGGAUCUUCGGACCUUGCGCGAUUGAAUGAGCCGAUGUCGGAUUAGCUAGUUGGCGGGGUAAAGGCCCACCAAGGCGACGAUCCGUGGCUGGUCUGAGAGGAUGAUCAGCCACACUGGAACUGAGACACGGUCCAGACUCCUACGGGAGGCAGCAGUGGGGAAUAUUGGACAAUGGGCGCAAGCCUGAUCCAGCCAUACCGCGUGGGCGAAGAAGGCCUUCGGGUUGUAAAGCCCUUUUGUUGGGAAAGAAAAGCAGCAGGUUAAUACCCCGCUGUUCUGACGGUACCCAAAGAAUAAGCACCGGCUAACUUCGUG